CCGGUCUCCUCUCCACGCUCCUCCCUCAGCAGAGCCCCAGGACACACCGUGAGUGGGGCACAGGGCUGAAAGGACAGAGCAGGAGCAGGAACAGGGAGGAGGCUGCUCACACCCUUCCCACUGCAGGGCAGAUGGCAGCUGGGAUCAGACGAGGGCUUCCCCUGGGAGGGGAGUGUGAGCCCCAGACUUCGGACCAGGCUUUUCACUACCUGAGAAUGAAGUUCUCAGAGCAACAGAAAGGCUAUGGGGUCUGCCAAGAUUUCAUCCAGGACGCAGAAGAAUGGCGGACAAACGGGGGUUUAUCAGACAGCGCUUGGAGAAAACAGUUUUGUUUGCACUUCGCCCCGUUCAGUCCAGGGCACUCAGUAAGCUGACUGUGUCUGCCAGGCACAGAGCUGGGCGUGAGGAACACAGCAGGCAAGGCUCCUCCACGGGACUGCGCGAAGGCUGCACUCCUGAGACGGUGGCUCGCUUGGGGCUGAAAUCUCAGAGCUCCGCUCGUCCUGAUCUCAAACUCUCCACCCGCCUGCCUCCGAGCUGACUCAUCUUCCGAGACCUGUGUGGUUAGAGUCCCGCAGAGAACCCCUUCCACAGCUGCCCUUCCCAGUGCUUAUUUCACAGCAGGCCACCGUGUCCAAGUGUGCUCCUCCACUCGGCAAAGACUGGGAGCACCUACGAUGUGGCAGACCCUGUGCGAAGCAAAGGAAUACUUCUGCUCAAGACACAGGGCAGGAAACAUGCUGCAGAAAAUAAAACAGGAAGAAGCAGAGGUGAAAUUCUGAAGAGCCUUGGAGACACAGCUAAAAUUAAGACUUGUUCUGUAAUUGUUAUUGGAAGACAAUGAAAGGUUUUGAGCUGUGGAACCAGCUUUGUUUGCUAAAAAGAUGAAUGUAACAGCAAGGAAGGAUUGAUGGGAAAGAGGAACGCUUGGCUUUUUAUGGGUGCGCUAGCAAACAUUUGGAACCAUGCCUGAGCACCUCCCAGGGUGGACUGAUAUCUCUCAACUGACAGAUCAACAGCUGGCGCAAACCUCUUUCCUUGGCUGCAUAUUUGAAUUUUUUUAUCAUUUAUUUGAUGGUGUCUUGUUUCUAAUUCUUUCAAAAAAAUAUUAAACACAUGGUUCCAAAUUUUAAUAUUAUAAAUUCUGAAAACUUUUUUACAUAGAACUCAACAUCCCACCGCAUAUUUUAAUGUGUGAAAUGCCCACACAUUAAACCAUUUGCUCCCAUAUAAUAACUGGUAAGAGUGAGCCAUUCAGGCUCAGCUGGAUUUCUGGUGUGUACUAAUCUAAGCUGCACUUGGGGCAGGGGUUUUGCCUAGGAUAAAGAGCGGCCAGGGAGCCCCACACGCAUCCAGGGAAACGGGGUAGGAGAAGGAGCCGGGAGGGUGAGGAGCCCCCAGGAGAUGUGGUAUAACUGACCCUCCGAGAGCGAAGCCCCCCUUCAGUCUUCACCCAUGGGCACCCAGGCUCCCAGCCGGGCUCUGUCCAAGUCUCCCUGUGAGUGGGGCCUGUCCUGUGUGCCCAGUGAGGCCUAUGUGGCCUGAUACAGCACACCAGGAGAAGGGUGCCCUGUCGCACCACAAAACAGCUGUACAGCCAAAGGGCACCCAGCC
rnacentral:lncRNA from 1 species